AAGAAACAUAUAGAUGUGGCACUGACGGACAUGGUUUAGUGGGCAUGGUGGUGAUGUGUUGACGACUGGACUAGAUGAUCUCGGAGAUCUUUUCCAACCUUAAUGUUUCUUUGAUUCUAAAAAAGAUAUUUAGGUUAAGACUCUUUCUGGAGUACCUUGAAAGAGUGCCUUCUCAAUUGGAAAUAAAAUAUGACAUAUUUAGAGUGUGAUCUCAGUUUAUUUAUAUAUCUUUUGUGGACUGGAUAGUUGCUUUCUGAAGGAUUCAGUCUCAUAUCCUUCAUUAUAUAAAUAUGAAGCAUGAAGACUGGUGUCAACAGGAGCCUUAUUUUUAGUGUAAAUGAGUCUAACUGCAAGCCUGGUUGCUUUGCCCUAAUUAUUAUCAAGGCAGAAAGCAUUAUGUGAUCAGCUCCAUCAGUCUUGUGUUUAAACAGCUGUUUUGUUUAAGUUCUUCUGCAGUUUACUAGCUUAUGCUAUCUGAGGAAACCCAACACUGAGAUCAUUAUGGUUAAGAAAUAACAUUAUUCCGUAGCUGUAAAUCUAUGUGAUAUUAGUUGGAAGCACUGAGAAAAAAGUGAUGUUUUGGCUUGUGGGUGAGUAGUCAUUUGCAUUAAAUCAAUAAUUCAUUUCUACCAGUUCUCUUUAGGUCUACUGAAUGAUUCCCCAUCAUUUGUAUCAAUAUAGUUGCUUCUGUGGAAUGAGAGGUGAUUUAUAGCUGACAAAUUCCUCUUGGAGCACCCAACACAUAACAAGUUUUCAUAGGAUAUCAUUCACAUAAUAACCUGGCAUAAAGCCAGAACAGUUGGAAUCUCUAGUUCUUGUUGAAAACUGGAUUGGAUUUCUUUUUAUUUUUUCUUUCUGGCUUUCAGAAGGAACUUCUAGUAGAAAUGAAAUCUGGAAUUGCUUCAGCUCUCAGCAUCUAUAUGCUUCCCAAAAUAAAAAGAGCAUCUGUUUGUGGCAUAUCCUCUUACAAUUUUUUGUUACUGCGACACUUGCAUGUAGAAGAACUCUCUGUUACUCAUACACUGAACUUAUUUUUCAGUGUUGUGACACAGCAUGUGACCAAUGAAAAAAAAAGUUAAAAAAGAAUGGAUAAUAUUGGUUGGAUGGAACCUGUGAAUGUCUGGCAAAUAUAUUUUCUGUAUUUUGUCUUGUAGAAUAUUAAGAUUUCUUGUAACCUCACACCCUUGGGCAGAUGCUGUCUCUUUUCCCUUCCAGAGCUCCAGGUUGUAACCAUCAGGAGACAAAAAGGAGGCAGAGGAAACUCUGCAAGACCACAAGGCUUACUUAACAUGCUUUUAAACAAAAACACAGGAGAAGGCCCUUUUCUGCAUGAGUUAAAAUACUGGAAAUAAUGAUUAUGAAAAUAGUUGAGUUUUAAUGAAAAUUGCCAAACAAUAGCCACUUAGUAGAAGGGACAGAAAUAUUUACUUUUUGCCUUCUCUAUUACAUGCUUGUGUCUUCCUGAGACGUACAUAUAUUAAAUCACUGCAUCACAUCUAUUAUAAUUAAUCAUAUUCACACUGUUGUUUCUGUUGUAUAAAUUGAUUGCAGUGAAUAGUAUAAGUGAAUGAAUUUGCAUGUAUGCAUAUUUGCUUAUAACAUAGUAAUAAAUAUGUAACUAUAUGGAAAGAUUUAUUUUUAUGUUUUCUCAUAAGCCUCUGUGUGUAUGUCAUGAGUUGAGGAUGAAAUUCUAUCAGGACUUUAUUAGAAAGAUGAAGCUGUAAGAAGUAGAAAAUAAAUGUCUUCUUAAACAUCUACUGAAGAAUUUCAUUUCAGAAGAUGUGAAGAAAGGCACAAAGAAAACAAAACUGUUUCUUCAGAUAAAUACCAACAAAAGAAAGCAGAAUUUCUUCUAUGAAAAAGGUAACUAGGUUCCUUCUGCGUGAGCAACUAAAUGUUCAGUCGACACACAUCCUUCCAGGCUUCUGUUUCUAAAGCAAAAGUAUUUACAUAAGCCAACAAACUGUGGAAACAUUAUUUGAAGUCCAAAAACUCCAUGAGAAAGAAGAGAACGACCCUCAUCAAAAACCAAAUGGUGAUCUGAAAUUAAAUCAAGCUGCAGAAAUGUACAUUCAAAUACCAAGAAUUACUACGCAACUUUGCAUUCUUUGGUACUGAAAAGCCUCAUCUGAAGUCCAUAGGAUCACUCAUGGUGAAGUCAAUGAAAUUUUGUCCUGGAUUUCAACUGGCGUACAAAAGAAUGCAGAGGAAAAGGAUUAUAGUGAAAUAUGUUUCAACUCAUUGCCUUUUCAGUGCAGUGAACACCGAAUAUGUAAAUUGAGAUUAGGAGUUGUCCUUAGUAUUUCUAUCAAACAUAUUUUUAAACCUGUAUGCAUUAUUAUGUAAGAUAUAUUCCAGCAUUACUUAACAAUAAAGUUGACUGCAUGUGUUAAUUCAGCUUCAAGUCUACAUGAAAGACAGUAUCUUUUUCCAGAACACAGUAUGCCUUUAUUUUUCUUGAAAAGAACUUUUUUGAGUCCUUUUAAUAUUUAAUAAUCAUUUUAAGAAUAAUAUAAAAUGAAUAUUCAGAGGCAGUUGAGUAUCACUGAAAUCAAGAAACCUUAAUAAGAACAUUCAAUAAAAUAGUCGUUGUAUGUUUAGUUAUAAUAGUAGCAAUAAUAAUAAUAAUGAAAUACGAUCCAAUAACAGAAUAUAUGAAAAGGAGGGAUAGCACUUAAAAUAAAGGAUUUAUUGAUUUAUUGUACCUCUUCUUUCACUUUUAUACCUCAAGUAUUCUAUUUAAACAAUAUAACAGCAAGAUCAUUCAGGUUCUUAAGAUGAUAUUGUAAAAAUUUAGCUGUAAGCAUGGGAUGAUAAACAAUAUAGUAAUUGCAUUUUCACAAAAUGGAAAAUUGUGACACCUAUUAGUAGAUUUAUUGUGAGAUCCAGUGAUGAAAUUAUUACCUCAUUAAAAUAAGUAGACCAUGUGCCAGUGACUGGAGGAGACCGUCAGUUUCAGCCCACAUCCUCAGCACAUCUUCUCUGAAUUCAUUGAUUUCAAGCCAAAUCACAUACAUUAAAGUUCUCAGGCACUAUUUUUUUUUAAAUAUUUUUCAAAUGCAAGAUGUAAUACCCCCAAAAUAUCACAUAGGUUAGUUCCUCAUAUUUCUCACAACAUAGUGACAUACUUUCUAAGGCAUGCAUCUUCCAAAUAAAUGUGUACAAAUGAUAUGCCUAUUUACUCCUUGGUAAAUUAACUACCCUACACAUUGUUUCAUUAGUUCUAACUGUUUAAGAAAUGUUGGACAUGAACAGUGCUUGGAAUUCCACCUAGGAAAACACACUGUAUACAGAAAAUAGUGCUUACACCACACCAGGUCAAUAGUCCUUGUCCCUGUUAGAUGGAAUUGUGUAGUGGUUCUGUAUAUUUGGGUAAAAAUUAUUGUAAGAAUUGUCUUUCGUGUGAAAACGAAUGCUGAAAUUCUGAGUGGAUGCAAUAUUGCAGGUGUUUAUUACAGAGGAGCAUGGAUACAAUUGUAGCUGGUUUGGCUGAAUUCCAGUGUGAAUAACUUCAUUCUGCCUUCACAAAAAAAUUAGCCAAUAACUUCAUGACUGGUGUCCUGUUUCCAGCAUUAGAAAUUUUCUGGGCAAUGGCUGUGAUUCAGUGCACUGUUUUGUGAAGCAUUUUAGAUCUCACUGCUGACGGAAGAUACUGCAGACUUGUACAUUCCAAAGCUCAGAUACGGAGCUAUCAAGUUCUCUCAUUUAAAUUUUUUUCUCCUUUUGUUUUUGUUUAAGCCUCUUCUUACCUCUCCCAGUUUUUGACUUCUCGAUGAACCCUUGCUGGCAUCCAUUUCAUUUUACUUCCAGCUGGCAGAUCAAACAAACUCCUUCUCUGAGAGCUGGUGCUAAUGCACAAGCAGAACAGAAGAUGUGUAAUGUUAUGUAGUAACCCUGCCAGCUUCUCUUUGCAUUUCUCUCUGCUUUCCCAGAUUAUUAUUAAAGCUGCAUUCCUAAGAAAGGAUGGACAGGUAAUCCAUCCUUGAACCUCUCAUGUGGCAAGAGUUUAUGAUGUUUUGUGCCAAAUAAUCUGUUAUGUUCUCAACAAGAAUGCAGUUUCCCAGGAUGUUGAUCUAUCUGAGCCUAUUUUCUCCUUCUCCCAAUAACUAUCCUAGUGGACAAAAGCUUACUUUAUAAGUCAUUUGUUUUGUACAAAGAAAAAGUUGGCAAGUAGUCACAUUAAUCAAAAUUCCUAAUUACCUAAACCAGUCUGCUUAAAAGAAAAUUCUGCCUGCUAAAUAAUGUCUGCUUUCUGCAGGGCCUUCCUGGUUGAGCUAACUUCCAAAAGUGUCUGGCUGCUCCAUGGAACAGUGGUUAUCACUGUUACUGUCCUUUAUGUAUGUUAGGUAGGAAAGAGUAUAGUCAGGACCGGUCUACUUGUUCUUGUAAGAAAUGUGCUUCAUCAAAAGGCACUGUAGAUCUUUUUUCUACAGGACACGUGCUUUAUUCAGGAGACAGGACAAGCACACACAGAAAAAAAUAAAAGUUGCCUGGGCAAUGCUUAGUGUAGUAUAUCAAGAAUUUAAAUUAAAUUAUCUGUACAUAAAAUGUGCUGAAUCUUGUUGAUAUGCAAUCAUGUCUUCCAAGCAACACUAUUUAAUGUGGCUUUUUUUAUAAGCCUAUUAGCUACUGACUUACAUGAAAGUGUGCUCAAAGACAAUAAAUUUCAGAGCCCAUCCAAUCAUCAUAUCCAUGCCACAAAGCACACUUUUUAAUGUACAUUUAGCAAAAUAAUGAUUUCAACAACAGACUAUUUCAUUUUCACCAGGGAGACUGAUGUGCCCAUAUUUCUUACAAAUAAGAAAAGGUUCUUGCUGCAGGAGGUAAAAGUACAUCUCUUCAAGAGGAGUGAUUUUUUCUGGAUGCAAUUCCUCUCUGGAACGCUCAAUGACCAGCAGUUUGACCUACUGUACAUUGUUUCCUUUGCAGCAUUUUACUAGCAUCGUAUGUUCUAAUUUCAGAGCAAAUGUCUUUCAAUGUACUUUUUAUUGGAAACAGUGCAUCACUAAUGAAUCAGUGUUCAAGACAAAAGACGAUGAAACACAGUUUGGCUUUUCUUUGCAAAGAUAAUGUUACUGCUCGUUAGUGAUUUACUAAUAUCUUAAAAUAUCUGGUUAAUGGAAAAUGUUUUUUAAAUAAUAAAUAUUAAAGUAUUGACCACCACAUAAUUAGCAACAGGUCUUUACAUGGUCCUUUUCAGAUCUGAUUGAUAGUAUUUAUUUUUAAAGCUGUUUUAUUGAGACAGUUUAGAAGAAAAUAUUUCAAAUUCUAAAGGAGAGCCAUUGGCUUCAGUGCUAUGUCACUCACCAGUUACAAAUUCAAGGAAACUGUAAUACAUAGUCUAGACAGAGUUAUUAUUUGACCACUGCUAACAGGACAGGUAUGCCCUUGGCCCUUCCUGUUGAUUAUGAGCUGGUUUCAGUCUCUUUUUUUUUCCCUAGUGUCCGUUAUUCACCAGGUGCUCAUUAAUCAUGUCUCCUGUCCUGGACAGAUCACAGUGCAGAUCUAGGCAGCUGCUGCAAGAUAACUACUAUCUGAGUGGACAUGAACCCAGCAGGCUGAAAGAGUCAAACAUCUUAACUUAGAUAGUCCAUGGAGCCCAGAAAUUUCUUUGAAAAAAUCAAAAGAAUGGAGGAAAUUGUGAAGACAGAAGUACUGGGUGUGAGGAGCGUGACCAAUAACAACUUCUCUAAUAAUAUUUGAAUACCCAAAUGGACGAACAUUAAGGACUUGUACAAAGAAAAAGCUGGCUAGUAGUCACACUAAUGAAAUUUCCUAAUUACCUCAGCUGCUCUGCUUAGAAUAAAGUUCUGUAUUCUAAAUAACAUAUGCUUUGCAUCAUGUGUCUGGAAGGCCAGCCGCAUCCUGGGCUGCAUCACUAGAAAGAUGGCCAGCAGGGAGAUGGAGGUGACUGUAGCCCUCUUCUCUGCAUCACGAGGCCCGGCCUGGGUACUGCAUCCAGGUCUGGUGCUCCCAGCACAAGAAAGACAUGGAGAUGUUAGAGCAGGUCCAGAGGAGGCCACAAAGAUCAAAUAGACCACAAAGGUCACAGAAGGCUGGAGCAUGUCUCUAUGAAGAAGCUUAAGGGAACGAGUCUUGUUUAGCUUGGAGAAGAUAAGGCUCCAGGGAGACCUCAUUGCAACCUUCCAGUACCUGAGGAAAGCUUAUAAACUGGAGGGGGUCAACUCUUUACAUGAUCUGAUAGUGAUAAGACAAGGGACAUGGCUUUAAACUAAAAGAGGGGAGGUUUAGGUUAGAUGUUAGAAGAGGGUGGUGAGGCACCGGCGCAGGCUGCCCGGAAAAGCUGUGGAUACCCCAUCCCUGCAGGUGUUCAAGGACAGGCUGGAUGGGGCCCUGGGCAGCCUUAGCUGGUGGGUGGAAGUCUUACCCACAGCAGGGGGUUGGAACUAGGUGAUCUUUAAGGUCCCUUCCAGCCCAAGCCAUUCUAGGAUUCUAUGAUUCUGUGAUUCUGCGAUUUUCACUAUGAAGUCUAAUCAGCCCAGGCAAAUAUUGUGCUAAUGCAGAUACUCUUCUGCAUGUAUUCAAGCUAGAAUUGAGUGGUUUCAGCUCCUGCUGUCUUGGUAUACCCAUAAGAGAUUCCUCAGAAGAAGAAAGUGUCUCAGUGCUAAGAAUCAAUAUAGUACAUCGAUCACAAGCAAAAUAAAACUACAACAAAGAAAUGUGGAACAAAUAUCUAAAAUAAGGGUGCUGCAGAGAACCAUUUCUACCCCACUGAGACCUGUGAGUGUGUUCAAAAGUAAAAAGAGAAACAGGCAAAAAUUCAGGGAAAAUCACAGAUUGACAGGAGAUAAACAAUUAAUACAUUUUUUGCAAAACAUGCUGGGAGAGAGGACAUAUUUUUUCCGAGGAGCUUUGGAGUCCUGUGAGAUAGAAGACUAUAGAAGACUAUCAGUUGAGUAGUCACUUAUGAGUACACAAAAUACUGUUUUGCUCCUUAUUUCUUUCCUCCAGCAAGAAAAAAAGGCCAGCGAACAGAGUAGCACAAGGUAUGCCGAAAGUAGAAAAUGAAAGUGAGAUGACUUCCAGUGAGGCACAUAAGUAACAUCAAGAUUUGCUACUAAACCCUGCUUGAAUUUUCAUGUUAUAUUUUUGUGAUGGAAGUAGUGUAAGUGACAGGACAGUCACGUCCUUUAUAUUCUAUCAGAUUAUAUUCUAUCAGAUAUAUUUAUAUUCAGAUAUAUCAGAUAUAUCAGAUAUAUUUAUAUUAUAUUUAUAUUAAUAUAUUUAUAUUCUAUCAGAUUAAACAGUGAAAUACUAGUUUAAUAAAUGUUCUUUUUGUGAUGUGUUUAUCAGGGGUACACAUUGUCUUCUGGUAUAUUAGGUUUUGAAGCUAAAGAGACUUUUGAUGAGACAAAUCUGUGAACUGAAUGGUUGACCUUGGACCACUUCCAAGUAUCUUCACAGGACAAUGCAAAAUGACACUACAUGUACUCUCUUUGCAAAGAAAAGCUAGUCUAGCACAUUUACAAGUAGAUGGAUUUAAAUCCAUUCCAAGACACUGUAGGCUUUGUUUCUUAUUUGUCCAGGUGACCCUCUAUCUUCGUCUAUUCUACUCAUACUAACCAGCUUAUAUAGACUAAUCCUUUUUCUUUUUAAUGCCCAUUUAUUUGGUAAUAGUCUUUCCAAAUCAUUUGAAGUCAUGCUACUGGUGAGUCAGUGAGUCAGUCUAUCCUGACAACUCUCUUUAAUAACAACAGAUGGGAUUUCUCAAUAUAAGCUAGGUGACCCAGAAAGUAAAGUACAGAAGAUUGGCUAUUUUCUCAGGCAGAGUGGAAGAUUUCUUUUGAUUCUUUCUCUGUUUGUUCCCACUUUUCUAUUCCUGUACUCCUACUCCUACUACUAUCUGUAGUAGAAUAGUCAUUGACUUCUACAACACAGAAUUAAUUGCUACACGCUGAUCAUCUUACUUCUGAUGUGGAAGUCAAUAGGGAUUUUGUGACUGUCUUGUCAACACAGUGAAAAUCAGGCAAAGAUGAGGAGUGAAUGCCCAAUCUUGAUCACAGAAGAUAAUACCAGGAAUAGUUUAGACAAACUCUC